GACAGAGGGUGCAACGUUGCUCGGAAUUACUGGGCGUAAAGCGCGUGUAGGCGGGAAGAUAAGUCGGGUGUGAAAUCCCUGGGCUCAACCUAGGAACUGCAUUCGAAACUGUCUUUCUGGAGUGAUGGAGAGGAAAGCGGAAUUCCCGGUGUAGAGGUGAAAUUCGUAGAUAUCGGGAGGAACACCAGUGGCGAAGGCGGCUAUCGCGGAC
rnacentral:rRNA from 1 species